rnacentral:lncRNA from 1 species
AAUAGAUUUAAUUACUCAGCACGGCACACACACACACACACACACACACACACAUGAGUGGGAGAAAGAAAAGUGAGAGGACAAAGUGUGAGUGUGAAAAAUAAUGAAAGAGAGAGAGAGGACAGUGUGUAUGUGUGAGUGUGAGUAUUUGUGUGUGUAUUUGUGUGUGUGCGAAUUUAUAUUUGUGUGUGUGUGUGUGUGUGUGUGUGUUAGUGUGUGAAAGAGAGAGAGACUCACACAUCAAUUAAUUCUCACUUUUAACUCUUGGCCGCCAGUCGUCGACCAACCACCACCGUUUAUGCAAAUAAAGGGGGCGGGACUUAUGCUCCAGGAGGGCUACUACACUGUUCAGGCAGGGGGGCGUCUAGAGGAGGUGUGGCUAAUUUGUGCAGUUGGCAAGAAUGUGGAGAGGGGGCGGGGCUAACAUGAGAUUGACAGAAAGAGAGCGAGAAAGAUAGAGAGAGAGAGAGAUUUAGAAAGUGAAGGAAAAGGCAGGAGAAUCUCCAUCUCUCUCUCUCUCCCUCAUUUUUUUUCACUCUCUCUCCCCCUUUUCUCUAUCUCUUCUUUUCUCUCUCUAUUACUCUCUCUCUCUCAUUUUUUCCUUUACUCUCUCUUUUCCCCUUUCCUCUCUCUAUCAUUCUCUUUCUCUCUCUCCCUCUCUCUCCUCUCUUGCUCUUUCUCUCCCCCACUCUCUCUCCCCCUUUUUUCUAUCUCCCCUAUCUCUCUCUCUCCUUUCUUGCUAUUUUUCUCCAUCACAUUCUCUCUCUCUCUGUUCCUCACUCACUCACUCUCUCCCCCUUUUCUCUACCUCCCCUUCUCUCUCUCUCUCUCUCUCUCUCUCUCUCUAUCCCCUCUCCGUGGGUGUGUAAGCAUGCAUGUGUGUGUGAUGUGAGUGUGUGUGUGUGUGUGUGUGUGCGCGCGCGCUCUGCUCUUCCUCCCUCUCGCGCUCCUCAUCCUCUCCGUCUCUCCGCUGCUGUGGUGCUGAGGCUGACACACACUCUGCUCCUCGGUUGCCGUGGCGAUGGGCUGUCGGCUGUCGGGGCCGUGGCCGAGGGACGGAAUGGGGGUGAAUACCCGGGACCUGAGCCACAUAAGGAAGAGAGAGGCUUUACGAAUUCUGGCCAGCUAUGAGCAGCCAAUCACGCUACAAAUAGAGGGACGAAGGGGGCGGAGCCUGCAGUUCCACCGAACUUCGGACUGCAGUACACAGACAGAGCGAAACUGGGACCCCAUACACACUCUCGCCAUAACACACGGCCCGUACUCCGACAGGUACUGCUGAGUGUGUGUGUGUGUGUAUGGGUGUGUUAUUGUCGUGACAUUAAAUGAAUAGUAAAGGGAUCUAUCAGACUAUGAAGGAACACAUAAGGAAUCAUGAAACCAAAGGAAUCAAAGAAACCAAAAUACUCUGUGAAGAAGCAUUUAGAUGCGGUGCCAGUUUCACCAUCAUAAUGUUUUCGAUGAUUGAAAUUCUUCUUUUUCGAUUGACUGGCCUUAAUUUUUUUUGUUAAUUUUUGUUUUGGC